UACGUAGGUGACCAGCGUUGUCCGGAUUUAUUGGGCGUAAAGAGCUCGUAGGCGGCUUGUCGCGUCGACUGUGAAAACCCGCGGCUCAACCCCGGGCCUGCAUUCGAUACGGGCAGACUAGAGUUCGGUAGGGGAGUCUGGAAUUCCUGGUGUAGCGGUGAAAUGCGCAGAUAUCAGGAGGAACACCGGUGGCGAAGGCGGGACUCUGGGCCGAUACUGACGCUGAGGAGCGAAAGCGUGGGGAGCGAACAGG
rnacentral:rRNA from 1 species